rnacentral:tRNA from 1 species
UCCUUGGUAGUUCAGCUGGUAAAGAAUCUGCCUGCAAUGCAGGAGACCUAGGUUCAAUUCCUGGGUCAGGAA